rnacentral:rRNA from 1 species
GAUGAACGCUAGCGGCAGGCUUAACACAUGCAAGUCGAGGGGUAUUGGUUUUCGGACCAAGAGACCGGCGCACGGGUGCGUAACGCGUAUGCAAUCUACCUUUUGCAGAGGGAUAGCCCCAGAGAAAUUUGGAUUAAUACCUCAUAGUAUAGUACUUUGGCAUCAAGGAACUAUUAAAGUCACAACGGCAAAAGAUGAGCAUGCGUCCCAUUAGCUAGUUGGUAAGGUAACGGCUUACCAAGGCUACGAUGGGUAGGGGUCCUGAGAGGGAGAUCCCCCACACUGGUACUGAGACACGGACCAGACUCCUACGGGAGGCAGCAGUGAGGAAUAUUGGACAAUGGGCGCAAGCCUGAUCCAGCCAUGCUGCGUGCAGGAUGACGGUCCUAUGGAUUGUAAACUGCUUUUAAUACAGGAAGAAACCCUCCCACGUGUGGGAGCUUGACGGUACUGUAGGAAUAAGGAUCGGCUAAUCCGUGCCAGCAGCCGCGGUAAAG